rnacentral:miRNA from 1 species
AAAUAUUUGAGGCAGCUUACAACAUUUUUAAAACACAAUGUGUGUGUGUGUGUGUGUGUGUGUGUGAGUGUACAUACACGUGCACACGCAUACACACACACAUAUAU